UGAAUUAUUGGAUGAUCCACUUAUUUCUAGCAAGAUAGAGUUGGAAGAACACACUGUUGAGGAUCUUUUAGGGUGGUUAUUGAAAAAGAGUCUUUUCGACUUGUGUACUUUUUCUACGAGGGUUGGUUGGAGAUCUUAAAGCUGUGGUGGGUGGAAAUGAGAUCGAGUCUGAAUUGAGUAUAUAUCCAAAAGCCGCAGUCAGAAAAUCUUGAAUGAGAAGAAUAGUCGUCGCAUCUGAAUUGCUAUAGCUUUAAUAAAAUUUUAUAAGGCUGUUGAUUAGAUCUUGACUUCAGUAUCCAGUCCUGUAUGAAGGCUGGAGAUAUGAAUCAGCUUAGGAUGCUCUUUUAACUGUGUAUCUCCACCUGACUUCUUUGAGGAAAUCAGGAAAUUGCUUGCAUUCUCAAAUGCUUGUUGAUGUCUAUGCUGGAUAGUAUUGACUUUUUCCUGAGGACCUUUUUCCUUGCGACUCCUAAUUAAUCUGUUCUUUCAGUAGCAGAAAUUUUUUCUGUUUCCUCAUUUUAUUUGACUGCUUGGCCUUAAAUUUCAGCCUUUUAUUUGACUGCUCGGCCUGACUGAGCAAGUAUUUGCUAGGAGUCUUGAACUUUAACUCACAUAGUUUCCAAUACUAAACCGUCUUGUGCAUCAGUAUCUUGUUAUUUUUCCCAGAUUUUUGUGCCGUCAGUCUUUUCACACUUCCGACGCAGCUAGAAGGGUGCGCUUAGGAUGCAUUCUACUUGAGAAGAAGAUAUAAACUACAAUGGAUUACCCAAAAAGGACAAAGUCUGAAACUCCAGCAUUUACCUGCUUGAAAAUGUAUUGGAGGUGCAUCAUAGUGAUGAAGCCUGUGGCUCAUUAAGUCCAAGACUCCAGCAUUUCUCUUCUGGAAAUCAUAGAUGCAUAAAAUGAUAUUUAGGCAAAAAUCUUUGCUUGCCACAAUUAUUUAGGAAGUGACCAACUAUGAUGUCUAGUACUCAUUUUGCAAAACAAGUAGUUCAUCCACAGUUGGGUGAGUAUCAAUUAUUGUACACAUUAAAUUUUUCUUAACAGAUUGAUUAGGUAGUCAGAGGUUUCGAGGGAAACAUGAGCUGAAUGUUCUCAAGCAAAUAUUGUCAGUGUUAGCUUUCAUCUUAUACACACGAACAAGAAUUUAAGAGUCAGUACAUCUGUGUUACAAUGGUCUGACUAUUUAAUUCUGUUUGCUUAGGCGCAUAAAGUCAACAGGAAACUCGUAGACAGAUACAUGCAAUUUAAGGCAAUUCCAACACUGGUGUUUCUGGUAACCUGGUUCAGUUUUGCAAGAGUUUGUCAACCAGUCUUUAGCCAGUUCAGUUCAACACGGGUGUUUCAGGGCAGCAGGUGUUACAGGCGGCCUAAUUCAGUCUUACGACGAGUUUGUAACCAGUCUUUUACCUUCCAACACAUACAAUCUGUUGCAAAAUACUGUGUAGUAGAAUUCUGACAUCCAUUAAAGUACUCCAGAGUAUGUAAACUAGCUUGUACUUCCUUCUGGAACAAAAAUUCAUCCAAUAAAGCACUC